GGAUCCCGGAGCCGGUGAGAAUUCUCUGUUUUUUCUCUACCAUCCUUUCCAGGCCUUUUCCUCACCUAAUGAGUCGUAGAGACGAGGGCCCAGAGAGUCUGUAAAGUGGCUGGUGAAAGAUUAGUGUCCCAGGGCCCUACAUCCGGGAGGUGGUUCGGGAUAAAGAGAACUAGUCUUGGGAACAAUGUAGGUGGGAACUUAAGGGAAUGGGAGAGCGGCCCAUAGAGGUGGACGGAGGGCGCGAUUGGAGUAAAGCGGACCCUGUGUAGGUAUAGAGUUGAGUCAAGUGGAGUCACUGCCUCUGUCCCUCUGGUCAGCGUGAUGGCCAGAGGCCUGGGGGCCCCCCACUGGGUGGCCGUGGGACUGCUGACCUGGGCGACCUUGGGGCUUCUGGUGGCUGGACUCGGGGGUCAUGACGACCUGCACGACGAUCUGCAAGAGGACUUCCAUGGCCACAGCCACAGGCACUCACAUGAAGAUUUCCACCAUGGCCACAGCCAUGCCCAUGGCCAUGGCCACACUCACGAGAGCAUCUGGCAUGGACAUACCCACGAUCACGACCAUGGACAUUCACAUGAGGAUUUACACCAUGGCCAUAGCCAUGGCUACUCCCAUGAGAGCCUCUACCACAGAGGACAUGGACAUGACCAUGAGCAUAGCCAUGGAGGCUAUGGGGAGUCUGGGGCUCCAGGCAUCAAGCAGGACCUGGAUGCUGUCACUCUCUGGGCUUAUGCACUGGGGGCCACAGUGCUGAUCUCAGCAGCUCCAUUUUUUGUCCUCUUCCUUAUCCCCGUGGAGUCGAACUCUCCCCGGCAUCGCUCUCUACUUCAGAUCUUGCUCAGUUUUGCUUCCGGUGGGCUCCUGGGAGAUGCUUUCCUGCACCUCAUUCCUCAUGCUCUUGAACCUCAUUCUCACCACACUCUGGAGCAACCCGGACAUGGACACUCCCACAGGACAUCUGCCAAAGGAAGGAACUGUAGCCUGGGAGAAUGGUUACUUUGGCAUUAGGGCCUUCAAGGGCUGGCAGUCUUACAGAGGCUGGAGCGGUGAGAAUGAGAGGCCAGAGGGACCAUAGUGUUGGGCACUGUCUGACCAUGUUGCAUUUGGAAGGCUAAAUGGGGCCAUGAAGAAGGCUGGAAGGGACAGGGGGUGAUGGCAGCCUACCUGGUGUCCCCUACCCCACCUGUUCUCGGAGAACCAAGUUGCUACACAGGAAGUUCUCCAAGGUCCAGUUUCCUUUCUCCCACCAGUUGGUGGAGGCUUCAGGGAAGACCAGAGUCCUGGACAGAGAGGGUAACAGGAGGAGUCGGGGAUAAACAUCAAACAUCAAUCGUGUGUCCUGAUUUGGGAGUGAUUGGGGGGAUGGGGUGGGAGAGGGUUAGUUGGUAUUCUCAUGGCCUGAUUUUUUUUGUUUCUAUUCCUUUUAUAUCACUGUGUUUGAAUCGAGGGGGAGGGGUGGUAACCGGAAAUAAAGACCUCCGAUCUUCCGCCCCACA
rnacentral:sRNA from 1 species